rnacentral:rRNA from 1 species
GUGACGAAGCGACGCCGCGUGUGGGAUGAAGGCCUUCGGGUUGUAAACCACUGUCGGGAGUUAAGAAUUGUAGGAAUGCUAAUAGUAUUUCUACUUGACUAAGGCUCCGGAGGAAGCCACGGCUAACUCUGUGCCAGCAGCCGCGGUAAUACAGAGGCGGCAAGCGUUGUUCGGAAUUAUUGGGCGUAAAGAGCAUGUAGGCGGCUAUGUAAGUCGGUUGUGAAAGCCUUCCGCUUAACGGAAGAAUGGCGGUCGAAACUGCAUGGCUUGAGUGCGGGAGGGGAGAGUGGAACUUCUGGUGGAGCGGUGAAAUGCGUAGAUAUCAGAAGGAACGUCGGCGGCGAAAGCGACUCUCUAGACCGUAACUGACGCUGAGUGUGCGAAAGCUAGGGGAGCAAACGGGAUUAGAUACCCCGGUAGUCCUAGCCGUAAACGAU